UUCGGUCUUARWRUAUACGAGUCGUUGAAGGAUCAAUACCAAACUUCUUGAUAAAACAAGAAGUUUGGUAUUGAUCUGUUUGAUUCAGUAGUGGUUUAUUCGCAUAGGCAUCUUUCAUUUUCAUUUCUUUUAUUCAACUUAAGAAAAGAAAACGUGUUGGUUAGUUCAUGAUCGAAUAUCGUAGUUUCUUCUGUACCAAUCUGUAAUUUCAUUUAUGUACUACGUUCCUCAAAGUUCCUCAAAAUCAUUUGAUUUUUUCCUAUAKAGAAUUUUUCUUAUUUUACAGGAUUGACAUUUUAUGUACAAUAUCUCUAUCUCARUAUGAAG
rnacentral:misc_RNA from 1 species